rnacentral:rRNA from 1 species
GACGAACGCUGGCGGCGUGCUUAACACAUGCAAGUCGAACGGAAAGGCCCUGCUUUUGUGGGGUGCUCGAGUGGCGAACGGGUGAGUAACACGUGAGUAACCUGCCCUUGACUUUGGGAUAACUUCAGGAAACUGGGGCUAAUACCGGAUAGGAGCUCCUGCUGCAUGGUGGGGGUUGGAAAGUUUCGGCGGUUGGGGAUGGACUCGCGGCUUAUCAGCUUGUUGGUGGGGUAGUGGCUUACCAAGGCUUUGACGGGUAGCCGGCCUGAGAGGGUGACCGGCCACAUGGGGACUGAGAUACGGCCCAGACUCCUACGGGAGGCAGCAGUGGGGAAUAUUGCACAGUGGGCGGAAGCCUGAUACAGCGACGCCGCGUGCGGGAUGACGGCCUUCGGGUUGUAAACCGCUUUCGCCUGUGACGAAGCGUGAGUGACGGUAAUGGGUAAAGAAGCACCGGCUAACUACGUG